UACGUAGGUGGCAAGCGUUAUCCGGAUUUAUUGGGCGUAAAGCGAGUGCAGGCGGUUCAAUAAGUCUGAUGUGAAAGCCUUCGGCUCAACCGGAGAAUUGCAUCAGAAACUGUUGAACUUGAGUGCAGAAGAGGAGAGUGGAACUCCAUGUGUAGCGGUGAAAUGCGUAGAUAUCACGCAGAACUCCGAUUGCGAAGGCAGCAUACCGGCGCCCGACUGACGCUGAAGCACGAAAGCGUGGGUAUCGAACAGG
rnacentral:rRNA from 1 species